CCUGGGCGUGGUAGCGUGCGCCUGUAAUCUUACUACUCGGAGGUCAGGGUGCGUGAUUUCGUGGAACAGGGAGUUCUGGCACAUAGGUGCUAAGCACGGCGCCGAUAUGGACGACGUGUCGGAGGGCGGUUUGUCCAGGUCGUCUGAGGAGAGGCAAACUGGCCUAGGGAGGAAACCCAGCAGUCAAAAUUCCAUUCGUGGUGCGGUAGCAGGAUAGCGCCUGUGAAUGGUAUCCAUAUGACAGCAGAGAAAAUUCUU
rnacentral:SRP_RNA from 1 species